UACAUAUUAGAACGCUUACUGUAACGGAUGAGCACGUAGAAGAAGUGAGACUCGUGUGCGAUGUUAAAGGACCUAGAAUAAUUAUUUCAGUUAGCCGUGCGUAUGAAAAGCGCUACUCACCGAAUUAAAUUAAAUUAUAAGCACGAACGAGUGUGCCGCUUCGCUCUUCUGUUAAUAUUUCUAAAAACUUUUUUAAUAGUGUCUUUAGUUAGUUCUUUUUGAAGUGUUAAUUAUUUAAAUGCAAUUGAGAGAUAAACACAUUUUUGCAAAUACAUUCAUAUAUUUAUACUGUGUAUGAAGAAAUCAGCAAUGAAACAAGUGAUUGCUCUGUAUGUUGGUGUUUCAGACUAAGUGUGCGUGAAAUGUUGAGGCAGGGAAAGUAAUACAGAUUAGUUCACAUUUCGAAAAUGCUAUUAAAUACAAUAAUAGUAUGAUUUUCCACUAUUAUUGCAAACCGAAAAAAAUAAGAACGCUGAUAUAAUACAAAUAAAAUUAACUAAUCAAAUAUAUGAGAUACUUAUUAUUGCAGCAUAUUUACUAACGUCCCAAGCUCACGAACGAUUCAAAGUAUAAAUGGUGAAGUGAAAAGCAAAUGUAGCAAUGAAUCUGCUGUUGGAGUGCAUUAUACUAAAUUGGCCAACGGAAGCGGUCAAAUACAUAGUAAUUCAACAUGUGAACGAUUAUAGCUCAUACGGAGGAUAUAUCAAUAUUUGCUAUGCGUUUGGUCAUUCGCCGACAGGUGGAAAUCGAAAGUCUCAAAGGAGAAAUAAAUUUUAACAUCAACGAUCGAAGGGUCAAUUACACACAGCACGACGUCGCUGUUAGCAGCGUCAUGAUGCAAAUGGUUGAUUAGCGAAAUGAUGAUGGCCUUCAAUCGUUCUUCGCCUAGUGCGUGCGUCUACCAGCUCAUGUAGAAAUCCAAGAGAAUCACACACACAUCGUUGCUCGAAGAAUUCUCUAUGACGUCGUAGCACCCAUCAUUGGAUGACAAUGACCACUUUCAGCAUUACUGCAAGGAUUUGGCCGACUUAUUGGUCGAGAAGUUGGACAUCAGUUACUUUUCUCCAUCUCCUGAAUCUAUGGGUGUCAAAUCGGGUGCAGAAUUCAUUGUUUUAAAUUUCCACGCCACAAGUGCUUUACAUUUUCAAUUACUGACAACAAGUAUUCGUGUCAAUUUGGUGAUUUGUAAAUAAAUUUGUCAAUCAGCAUGUCAUGUCGUCAAAUACUAGCCAAUCAUAAGCUGCAAGUGGCACUCAACUAGUUAUUAUCACGUCCACUGAACACACCAAGCAAUGUAACACUAUACAUAAGUUCAAACAGCUUCAACGUCAACAAAUUUUCAGCAAUCUCCAUACAUUUCCGUUACGGCAACAAAUUCGCCUAUACAUUGCUUACCACGUUUCAGAUGGCUUCCAGUAUAAUAUACCGCUCAAACAGAUUAAGCAAAUGAAUAACUACAAGAAUAGCACUGCGUUCAAACCGAUGCGCGAACGCUGCAAAAACAGUGGCCGAUAAUGAAUGCAUUAAAAAAAUUAUUGGGGACUUAGGCCCAACGCUGUAUGGAAGCCGAACUUUAUAUUGUUCUAUAAUGUCAUCAGUAUAGCUGUAAGGGAUACCUUGGAAAAACGUGGCAAGAGUUUAAUUGCUGUCAUUGGCGCACCCGAUAACAAAUAAUCAAAAGCCGGCAUUGUGCCCCCUCAUUGGUUGGGGAUUACCGCUUGCACCAUAGCGCUCGUUUAUUUUGUCACUUACAAUUUGAUUUUGGCGUUACGUUGCACUAUAAAGUAACAGCUUAUCAAGGAUGGAGCAGCGGCACCAGUGUGACCGCUAACUUCGUACACGGCAAUACCAGCAUUGAUCCCUCUCAGAGAGUGGCAUUGGGAAAAUAUGUUUGAAAUGUAUGGGCAUAUCUUCGUUUAAAGAAGUUUUUUUUUAAUAUAACUUGAUUGAAUUUAAUUUAAAUUGAAACGAUUUUUGCAAUAAAUGACGUCCAUUUGUGAAUUUACGUUUCAAUGGAA